ensembl:rRNA 5S_rRNA 5S ribosomal RNA
GCUUACGGCCACACCGGCCUGAGUACGCCUGAUCUCGUCCGAUCUCGGAAGCUAAGCAGGGUCGGGCCUGGUUAGUACUUGGAUGGGAGACCGCCUGGGAAUACAGGUGCUGUAAGCU